UACAGAGGGCGCGAGCGUUGUCCGGAAUUACUGGGCGUAAAGGGCGCGUAGGCGGCCUUCUAAGUCGAACGUGAAAUCCCCGGGCUCAACCCGGGAACUGCGUCCGAGACUGGAAGGCUUGAAUCCGGGAGAGGGAUGUGGAAUUCCAGGUGUAGCGGUGAAAUGCGUAGAUAUCUGGAGGAACAUCGGUGGCGAAGGCGGCAUCCUGGACCGGUAUUGACGCUGAGGCGCGAAAGCCAGGGGAGCAAACGGG
rnacentral:rRNA from 1 species